UGCAGAAAAGUAAUGAAAGGUACAACAAAGUUUUAGUCACAACAAGACUAGUUCAAAGGUGCAGAAAAAUACAGCAAUACAGUUUCAUUAGAAUGACAAAAGUAUAGCAGACCACUUUGAUGCCUCUGCAUCCAUUCCUUAUCCAUCAACCUUCAACUUUUCAAAUUAAGAGUCUUCUUCCCUAUAAAAUCAACAAAAAACAGCAGUAAUAAGGGGAUUGAUUUUUUU
rnacentral:lncRNA from 1 species